rnacentral:rRNA from 1 species
CGGCAAARGCUCAAAUUUGAAAUCUGGCACCUUCGGUGUCCGAGUUGUAAUUUGAAGAUUGUAACCUUGGGGUUGGCUCUUGUCUAUGUUUCUUGGAACAGGACGUCACAGAGGGUGAGAAUCCCGUGCGAUGAGAUGCCCAAUCCUAUGUAAGGUGCUUUCGAAGAGUCGAGUUGUUUGGGAAUGCAGCUCUAAGUGGGUGGUAAAUUCCAUCUAAAGCUAAAUAUUGGCGAGAGACCGAUAGCGAACAAGUACAGUGAUGGAAAGAUGAAAAGAACUUUGAAAAGAGAGUGAAAAAGUACGUGAAAUUGUUGAAAGGGAAGGGUUUGAGAUCAGACUCGAUAUUUUGUGAGCCUUGCCUUCGUGGCGGGGUGACCCGCAGCUUAUCGGGCCAGCAUCGGUUUGGGCGGUAGGAUAAUGGCGUAGGAAUGUGACUUUGCUUCGGUGAAGUGUUAUAGCCUGCGUUGAUGCUGCCUGCCUAGACCGAGGACUGCGAUUUUAUCAAGGAUGCUGGCAUAAUGAUCCCAAACCGCCCGUCUUGA